rnacentral:lncRNA from 1 species
AUGGCUGGAUCUCGUGCUCCUUGAUGGCUAGAAAUGGAAGGGGAUGGCUCCAGAUGAGGGGCGCCGCGGGAUUGCUGGGAGGCUGAUGCGGAAUGCCUGGAUCACGGAGAAGGUGGGGAAGGAGCUAGAGACGGACGCCGAUCCGGAAGGAGCUGGGAUGAGGGCGUGGAUCCGGAUGAAGAGGACUCGGAACGACAUUUCUGGGAUUCGGAAGCUGGACGUGGCUGGGCGGAAGAAGAGGAUGCCGCAGAUGCUUGGAUGCGGAAAUGGAAGGAGCUGGGAUCUUUGAAACGGGCGGCUGGCA